CAUGAAAUUGACAAAUUAUUUAUGAUCUAAGGGCAAAUUGGUGUUUGCAAUUGCGUGGAUGCUCACACUUAUUGAAGAUAGUUGGUUUACCAUGCGUGACUGUUAUAUUUUCUUAAUGGAAAAAGUACGAAUUACCCUCCCUGAACUAUCGCGGUCGUCCGAAUUAUCCCCCUAAACCACAAAACCUGAUAUUUUUCACCCAUAACUAUGCAAACCGGACGAAUUACCCCCCUUGACUAAAUUCACGGUGGUUUUGAUCUACGUAGCGUACACGUGGCAGUACAGUCAGUAUUCUAUUUGUUAAAAAAUAUAGGACCCACCUGUCAUACUCCUCUUCCAUUCUUCCUCUCUCUCUCACUCUUCCUCUCUGCGGCUACAGGCGGGGAACACGGAGCGGCGGCGGCGAGGGUUACGCGGAGGCGGCGGCGGCUGUGGCCACGACGAGCAGCCGCCCCCUGCGGCUACGGCGGUCUCGCCGACGCGGUUGCCAGAGCGUCGGGCUCCGGCGCCAGCGGCCCGACGGCACGCACGCGCAUGAAACCUAGGUCGGCAAGAGGCCUCGAUCUCUCUCUCCCAACGCCCGACGGCGUGCCCGCACGCGCAUGAGGCCUCUCUUUCUCUCUCUCUCUCCCAACGCAUACGCGCAUGAAGCCUAGGCCGGCAUCGAGGCCGGAGCGGGGAAGACGGCGGAGACGGCAUCGUCGACGUGCCCAGUUACCAAAGGUGACCUUCGCACCGACGACCUUGUCCCCAACCAUGCCCUCCGCCGCGUCAUCCAGGCAUGGUGCGUCGCCAACAACCUCCCUCCUCGCCGCCUUCCCGCAUCACCCCUCCCUGCGCCGCAAUAUUGCUCGUCUCCGGCACCGGAGACAGCAAGCCCGGUGGACAGGGAGGAGCUGAAAGCAUCGCCGGCGGCGGCGUGUCCUCUCCUGGCGACGGUGAGAUGUUCGUGUUCGACUAGAAUACACUGGAUGGAAGCGACGGCAGCCACCACCUGUGGUGGCCAGAGAGCGUCCGUAUUGUAUGCAAGAGUUGUUUGUUGCAUUUGUCGUUCGCCGCGGCGAGUGAGUCGAGUGACUCGUCGGCGUCGUCGGUCCUGCUCAACAACGUCCUGGCGGUGCUGGUGCUCGUCAUGCCGCUCGACGAGGAGGCCAUCGUGGCCAUCGGCUCGUCGAUCACCACGUCGGUGGCGCUGCUCGCCAACGUUGCCAAGCACGGCGACCUGCAGAGGAGGCUCCAGGCGGUGGUCGUCAUUAUGGAGAUCGUUUGUGUUGUCCUCGUGCUGCUCACGCAACGGCGGCGCUACCACCGCCAUUGAUCUCAACGACAACCUCGACGGGAUCAUCGAGAGUGAGAGAGAAGAGAGAGAGAGAGGAAGAAUGGAAGAGGAGUAUGACAGAUGGGUCCCACAUUUUUUUUAAUAAAUAGAAUACUGACUGGACUGUCACGUGUACACCACGUAGACCAAAACCACCGCGGAUUUGGUCGAGGGGGGUAAUUCGUCCGGUUUGCAUAGUUGAGGGUGAAGAAUGUCCGGUUUUGUGGUUUAGGGGGUAAUUCGGACGACCGCGAUAGUUCGGGGGGUAUUUCGUACUUUUUCCUUUCUUAAUCCAAUGGAUCAAAUCUAUUUAUAAUAUCACAUCAACUACUAUUGGUAAAGUGGUAAUAGA